rnacentral:rRNA from 1 species
UACGUAGGGGGCAAGCGUUGUUCGGAAUUGCUGGGCGUAAAGGGCUCAUAGGCGGCCAACUAAGUCAGACGUGAAAUCCCUCGGCUUAACCGGGGAACUGCGUCUGAUACUGGAUGGCUUGAGUUUGGGAGAGGGAUGCGGAAUUCCAGGUGUAGCGGUGAAAUGCGUAGAUAUCUGGAGGAACACCGGUGGCGAAGGCGGCAUCCUGGACCAACACUGACGCUGAGUGAGCGAAAGCCAGGGGAGCAAACGGG